rnacentral:rRNA from 1 species
UACGUAGGUGGCGAGCGUUAUCCGGAAUGAUUGGGCGUAAAGGGAACGCAGGCGGUCUUUUAAGUCUGGUGUGAAAGCCUUCGGCUUAAUCGGAGUAGUGCAUUGGAAACUGGGAGACUUGAGUGCAGAAGAGGAGAGUGGAACUCCAUGUGUAGCGGUGAAAUGCGUAGAUAUAUGGAAGAACACCAGUGGCGAAAGCGGCUCUCUGGUCUGUAACUGACGCUGAGGUUCGAAAGCGUGGGUAGCAAACAGG